GGACCACAAAUAUCCGUCAGAUAUCCAGUUUAGAUCCGAACGUCCUGGGCCCACACUGGUCAUUCAGCGGACGUACGUGGGACAUCCUUUUUUGGCAUUAAAGAAAGUUCCGUUUAUUUUGUUCCUGUGGAGGUCCUCUGGAUGUUCCCCUUUGGAUGCGGGAAACGUCCAGUGCGUGUUAUCCCUUGGUCGUCCUUUGAAUGUAGGAAUCUUUUCUACAAAUAUUGUACGUUAGUGCUACUAUUUUUCAUUAGAUUUUCAACGAUGAUAUGCUGUGAACAUAUUGCUAACAUCGCAUGUACGUGGGCAUGGUGCUUAACUAUUAAGUGGACUUCUAUGGGCAAAGAAGAAAACAAAAUUAUUAAGUACAAAUAAUUCUUUCAUAACUAAAGUUUCCUCUCGAUGUGUCCUGGGCGAAAAGGAAUUAUGAACCCAAAUCACCAGCUAAUGAACAUUACGCGGAUACCGUUUUAUCAUGCUUUGGCCAUAUUACGUAAUGAACAAUAGCGGAGGGCGUACAGCGGCCUGCCUCCAAGCCCCCUGAAUGAAACUAAACGAUAACCAUAUUUUGCCGAGCCAGCCAGCCGGCGAGGAUGUCCGCCCUACAGUGUAAUAGAAUCUUCUAGUUCACUAUAUCCGCGCUUCGAGCGCGCGCCGGCGUCGUCAUUUGUUUUCUUGAUUUUUUUUUUUUUUCUUUUUGUGCUUCCGCUGGCGUCAUGACAUUCUCGGUGCUGCUCACCGCGAGCAACGCAACUGAGAGGGCGAGCAGCGAGGAGGGUGACUACUCGACUAGCGCCUCGCCACCUGCGUACCCCUCUCCCCUCGUUGUGCGCCUCGCACUGCUCACAGCCUCGCGUUGAUCCCGCCACGUGGCACGUGGCGCCUUUAUGUGCAGUUUUGUAGCUGUGGUUGUAGUUUUGCCGCUGUGUACGUUGGCGUUGUAACAGGUGUUCUGUGGUACUGUUCGGUGGCGUGCGAAGAGCUCUCCUGCAAAGAUCUGCUGCAACAGUUUCCCCAAGGAAGCACAACAAAUGUUGAAGACGCCAUGAAAUCGUAGCUCAGACAUGCACCGGAAAGGGCAUCAGGCACCCUCAAACACAAGAAGCCUGCAACGUCUGUUGAGGACUCAAAUGAAGAUGCUGAAUGAGUACCCUCCUUGCCCGCUGCACUCCAAUCCCAUGCCAGUGCCAUGGCAUUCGUGUGCCCGAUUACAGCAGCUACCAAGUAGCUAAAUAGUACCUUCACAGCAGUAUUGUUACUUUUUCUCUUCUUAGUUUAGCAUAUGUGUUAAGCAAUGUGUGUGAUCAAUGCUCACUAUCCAGGAAGCAUGUUCACGUUCGGUAUGAGAUUCACUUGUGGGGGCUUUCCACUUCAUUUUUCAUUAUGGCAGGUUCUGAUCAGUAGCAGUUCUGGUCAACAGGUGAUUUUGUUGUCAACAGCUGAUUUUGUUGUCAACAGAUGAUUUUGAUGGACAAAUUAAGAUACUAAUUUGUAUGUUUGUUUCUCAUUUUUCUAUGUGUUAGGUGAAGCAAUGUGUCCACUCAGUGCUCAUUAUUUAGGAAAUACUUUGUUUCUUGAUAAGAGGUUCAUUUCUGGGAACUCUUAGCUUUGUCUUUCACUUGGGAGCUCAUUAUUCAAAAAGCACAUUCAUUCUCUCCAUAUAGAUUUAAUCCUCGGGUCGUUCAGCCUGGUUAAUUCUUACUCUUUUAGUCUUUGUUGUUAUUGAUGUUCAGUAGUUCCCUCUGCAGUUUUUCAACACACAUUUUACUCAUGUUGAUUAGUGUGCUUAGUGGUGGUUGCCUUUAAGCAUUUCUAAAAUUGAGUCUUGAUUAUCCCAUCUGCUUUUUUAGUUACUUGCAUUGCAAUUUUUGUGUUGCUGUUGGACAUUUUCAGUUGUGUUUUGCAGAGUACUAACACUAUUGUGAUGUGUCUCAGUUGAUUAAGUACACAUUUAAUUACAUUUGCCUUGUAUUCUUCUCAGCCUGAAAAGUGUUCGGUGCUGUAUAGUAGUUUUCUUAGUAAUUUCGUUUGCAAAUUCCGUGUUGACGUCAUGUUUUAUGUACAAAAAAUGACGUGGUGACCUAAUAAGUAGCAUGGCCGCUUGUGUUGUUUGAGCUGCACCUGUUUAUUUUUUUCAUCACGUUUAUGUAAUGACACCUUGAAGCAGCAUUUUUAGCCAUUUUAUAUGGGUUUUGUAACAAUAUUGGCAAACUAUUUUGCACUGUUAGUCUACUGUGCUCAAAUAUUUUGAUGUUGUGUUGCAAUAAAAUAUUUUA